CCAGCAGCUGCGGUAAUUCCAGCUCCAAUAGCGUAUAUUAAAGUUGUUGCAGUUAAAAAGCUCGUAGUCUGAGUCUUGGUUGGUGUUGAGCGUCCGUGGCUUUUGUCACGUGCAUGCGAUACGCUGGCCAUGUACUUCGGAGGAACAUGGGUGCUUUUCAUUAAGUGCUCAUGGGAUUCCGAUAGUUUACUUUGAAAAAAUUAGAGUGUUCAAAGCAGGCCAACGCUUGAAUACAUUAGCAUGGAAUAAUGGAAUAGGACUUUGGUGCUAUUUCGUUGGUUUAUGGGACCGAAGUAAUGAUUAAUAGGGACAGUUGGGGCCGUUUAUAUUCCGUUGUCAGAGGUGAAAUUCUUGGAUUUACGGAAGAUAAACUUCUGCGAAAGCAUUCGGCAAGGAUGUUUCCA
rnacentral:rRNA from 1 species